GCAAGGAAGCACAGGAGAGUGGUGGAGUCAGCUGCUCUGUCACAGAGCAGUCACAGGCUCUGCUGCUCUGCCUGUGUGCAAAGGAUGCUGCUUAAGAGUUCAUUGGCAAAAACAGUUUUUGAAAACUACUAGACUUGGAUUUCUAAGAUCCAGGAUUCUACAUCCCUCCUGGCAGACUGAAACCUAAAGAAGAAAAACUUCUGAUUAUAUAAUUUCACGAGUUAAAAGGUCCCUCCAUUCGGGGUCCCUGACUUCCCGCAACAGAUGGCAUUUACUUGGAAGCUGUGCAGUCAGCAACCAAGAUCAUGGGAAACACCACAGGACAAAUGACCAGCUUUGUUCAACAACUGAAUUACCAGGAAAAAUUCAAAAGGGAGACAUGAAAGAGGAACCUAUACAUAAAGAGACUUAAGAGACAUAGCAAGCAAUCUCAAUGUGUGGCCUUUAUUUGGUCCUAAUUCAAGAAAACAAAAUGUAAAGAGAAAAAGAGACAUUUAUGAGACUUUUUCAGAGAGGCAUUUCCUGACCAUCUAACCUAAACCAUCUUCCCCAAUUAUUAUCACAUCAUGCUUUAUUUCACAGUACUUAACACUAUCUGAAAUUACACUGUUUUAUUAAAGAAUGACUCCCUCCAUCUAAUGGAGGCUCCAUGAACACAGCCACCUUUGCCUGUCCUACUCACCAUGAAUUCCUAUAUGAAUGAUUAAAUUAAUUUGAACAGACCUUGGUUUCAGUCCUGGUUCUACAAUUUACUAGCUAAGUAUUCCAUCUUAACAAAAUGUUGAGUCUUCUGAUCCAUGAAUAUGGGAUGUAUUUUCAUUUAUUUAGGUUGUCAUUAAUUUCAACAAUGUUUUAUAGUAUUCAUUGUAUAAGCUUUGCACUUCUUUUGUGAAUUUAUCCUACCCAUUCUGUCUCCUACCCUUCUAGGACUCUGAUUACACAUGUCAGACUGCCUGAUAUUGUUGCACAGAUCGCAGAAAUGCUCUAUCCAUUUUUUUUCCAUCUCUGUGACCUUCAUUUUAGAUAAUUUCUAUUGAUACGUCUUUGAGUUCACUGUUCUUUUGUAGUAUUCACUCUGCUGUUAAGCCUAUUUUGUUUUUUAUUUCACGUACUAGAUUUAAACUUCAAAUACAGAUAAAGACUUCCGUUUUUUUUUUUUCUUUUUUUUUUUGAGAUGGAGUCUCGCUCUGUUUCCC